CGGACGGGUGAGUAACGCGUGGAUAACCUGCCUCACACUGGGGGAUAACAGUUAGAAAUGGCUGCUAAUACCGCAUAAGCGCACAGUACCGCAUGGUACGGUGUGAAAAACCCAGGUGGUGUGAGAUGGAUCCGCGUCUGAUUAGCCAGUUGGCGGGGUAACGGCCCACCAAGGCGACGAUCAGUAGCCGACCUGAGAGGGUGACCGGCCACAUUGGGACUGAGACACGGCCCAA
rnacentral:rRNA from 1 species